rnacentral:rRNA from 1 species
AGAGUUUGAUCAUGGCUCAGGAUGAACGCUAGCGGCAGGCUUAAUACAUGCAAGUCGAACGGGAUUCGGAGUAGCAAUACUUUGAUGAGAGUGGCGCACGGGUGCGUAACGCGUAUGCAACCUACCUUUAACUGGGAGAUAGCCCCGAGAAAUCGGGAUUAAUACCCCAUAACAUUACGAAUUGGCAUCAAUUUGUGAUUAAAGCUCCGGCGGUUAGAGAUGGGCAUGCGUGACAUUAGCUGGUUGGUGAGGUAACGGCUCACCAAGGCAACGAUGUCUAGGGGUCCUGAGAGGGUUAUCCCCCACACUGGUACUGAGACACGGACCAGACUCCUACGGGAGGCAGCAGUAAGGAAUAUUGGUCAAUGGGCGCAAGCCUGAACCAGCCAUGCCGCGUGCAGGAAGACGGCCCUAUGGGUUGUAAACUGCUUUUAUCAGGGAAUAAACCCCCGCUCGUGAGCGGGGCUGAAGGUACCUGAGGAAUAAGCAUCGGCUAACUCCGUGCCAGCAGCCGCGGUAAUACGGAGGAUGCAAGCGUUAUCCGGAUUCAUUGGGUUUAAAGGGUGCGCAGGCGGAUUGGUAAGUCAGGGGUGAAAUCCCACAGCUCAACUGUGGAACUGCCUUUGAUACUGUCAGUCUAGAGUAUAGUUGAAGCUGGCGGAAUGUGUCAUGUAGCGGUGAAAUGCUUAGAUAUGACACAGAACACCGAUCGCGAAGGCAGCUAGCUAAGCUAUAACUGACGCUCAUGCACGAAAGCGUGGGGAUCAAACAGGAUUAGAUACCCUGGUAGUCCACGCUGUAAACGAUGAUUACUCGAUGUUGGCGAUACACAGUCAGCGUCUGAGCGAAAGCAAUAAGUAAUCCACCUGGGGAGUACGAUCGCAAGAUUGAAACUCAAAGGAAUUGACGG